GUGGGGAAUUUUGGACAAUGGGCGAAAGCCUGAUCCAGCCAUGCCGCGUGCAGGAUGAAGGCCUUCGGGUUGUAAACUGCUUUUGUACGGAACGAAAAGACUCUGGUUAAUACCUGGGGUCCAUGACGGUACCGUAAGAAUAAGCACCGGCUAACUACGUGCCAGCAGCCGCGGUAAUACGUAGGGUGCAAGCGUUAAUCGGAAUUACUGGGCGUAAAGCGUGCGCAGGCGGAUAUAUAAGUCAGAUGUGAAAUCCCCGGGCUCAACCUGGGAACUGCAUGUGUGACUAUAUAGCUAGAGGACGGCAGAAGGGGAUGGAAUUCCGCGUGUAGCAGUGAAAUGCGUAGAUAUGCGGAGGAACACCGAUGGCGAAGGCAAUCCCCUGGGCCUGUACUGACGCUCAUGCACGAAAGCGUGGGGAGCAAACAGGAUUAGAAACCCCUGUAGUCC
rnacentral:rRNA from 1 species